CGCUAUAGCCAAACAUGCGCUUCGUACCUCUCUGCUGUGUGGCCCUUUUAUUCUGGACCACAGGCUCCAUGGACACUGAGGUCAUCCAGAAUCCUAGAUAUCUGGUCAAAGGAAAACAGCAGAAAGCCAAAAUGGACUGCACCGGCAUAAAAGGACACAGUUACACUUACUGGUACUACAAGAAGCAGGGAGAAGAACUCAAGUUUCUGGUUUACUUUCAGAACGCAGACGUUGUAGACAAAAUAGAUAAGAUCGAUAAAAAUAUUUUAGCCCAAUGCCCCCGAGACUUCCCGUGCACCCUAGAGAUCCAGUCCAGCGAGCUCGCAGACUCGGCUGUGUAUUUCUGUGCUAGCAGUCUAUCCACAGUGCUGACUGCUGGCUUUUCUUAGAACACAAACUUCACUGGGACCCUGCUCAGGAAAUCAGGGUUCCACAAGCUUGCUGAGAGCUAACAGAAACACAGUGUGAAAGAGUAUGA